GACAGAGGGUGCAAACGUUGUUCGGAAUUACUGGGCGUAAAGCGCGUGUAGGCUGCUUCGCAAGUCGGGUGUGAAAGCCCUGGGCUCAACCUAGGAAGUGCACUCGAAACUGCGGAGCUGGAGUCCUGGAGAGGAAGGCGGAAUUCUCGGUGUAGAGGUGAAAUUCGUAGAUAUCGGGAGGAACACCAGUGGCGAAGGCGACUUCCUGGCCUGUUCUUGACGCUGAGGCGCGAAAGCUAGGGUAGCAAACGGG
rnacentral:rRNA from 1 species